UACGUAGGGCGCGAGCGUUGUCCGGAAUUAUUGAGCGUAAAGAGCUCGUAGGCGGCCUGUCGCGUCGGUUGUGAAAGCCCGGGGCUCAACCCCGGGUCUGCAGUCGAUACGGGCAGGCUAGAGUUCGGUAGGGGAGAUCGGAAUUCCUGGUGUAGCGGUGAAAUGCGCAGAUAUCAGGAGGAACACCGGUGGCGAAGGCGGAUCUCUGGGCCGAUACUGACGCUGAGGAGCGAAAGCGUGGGGAGCGAACAGG
rnacentral:rRNA from 1 species